rnacentral:rRNA from 1 species
CGUUAUCCGGAUUCACUGGGUUUAAAGGGUGCGUAGGCGGGNUGGUAAGUCNGUGGUGAAAUCUCCGAGCUUAACUCGGAAACUGCCNUNGAUACUAUUUGUCUUGAAUAUUGUGGAGGUNAGCGGAAUAUGUCAUGUAGCGGUGAAAUGCUUAGAUAUGACAUAGAACACCAAUUGCGAAGGCAGCUUACUACACNNUUAUUGACGCUGAGGCACGAAAGCGUGGGGAUCAAACAGGAUUAGAUACCCUGGUAGUCCACGCCCUAAACGAUGAUUACUCGACAUNAGCGAUACACUGUUGGUGUCUGAGCGAAAGCAUUAA